UUUUUCAUCAUUCAGAAGCAGCGCAGUCGGUGUACGUUGCUUAUCCGUACAGCAGAGGGCGCGAAAACAUAACUGAAACCAAGCUUCACUUUCGUUUUUCGCUCUGCCAGUUUUGGUUUGUGCUGCCAGUGACACCAGCUUGACCUUGCUGUACAGAGGAGACCUUAUCUCUCACAGACGUAAAUCAGAGAUGCCCAGUUUCAUGGAGAAAGAUAUGAUGGUCCAGAUUUUCCUGUUCGACUCACUUGGCUGCAUGGGUGCUGCCAGCUCCACGGUGACCCACACUCAGAGUGCUUCUUUUCUUCCAGUAUUUGGUGAACGACGAGCUCAUGUUACACUGCAUCCCCUGGAUGGGUCGAA